rnacentral:rRNA from 1 species
AACGCGAAGAACCUUACCUACCCUUGACAUGUACGGAAGCCCGAUGAGAGUUGGGUGUGCCCGAAAGGGAGCCGUAACACAGGUGCUGCAUGGCUGUCGUCAGCUCGUGUCGUGAGAUGUUGGGUUAAGUCCCGCAACGAGCGCAACCCUUGUCAUUAAUUGCCAUCAUUGAGUUGGGCACUUUAAUGAGACUGCCGGUGACAAACCGGAGGAAGGUGGGGAUGACGUCAAGUCCUCAUGGCCCUUAUGGGUAGGGCUUCACACGUAAUACAAUGGCCGGUACAGAGGGCUGCCAACCCGCGAGGGGGAGCUAAUCUCAGAAAGCCGGUCGUAGUCCGGAUUGUUCUCUGCAACUCGAGAGCAUGAAGUCGGAAUCGCUAGUAAUCGCGGAUCAGCAUGUCGCGGUGAAUACGUUCCCGGGCCUUGUA